rnacentral:rRNA from 1 species
CAGCAGCCGCGGGAAAACAGAGGGUGCGAGCGUUAAUCGGAUUUACUGGGCGUAAAGCGUGCGUAGGCGGCUAAUUGAGUCGGAUGUGAAAUCCCCGAGCUUAACUUGGGAAUUGCAUUCGAUACUGGUUAGCUAGAGUGUGGGAGAGGAUGGUAGAAUUCCAGGUGUAGCGGUGAAAUGCGUAGAGAUCUGGAGGAAUACCGAUGGCGAAGGCAGCCAUCUGGCCUAACACUGACGCUGAGGUACGAAAGCAUGGGGAGCAAACAGGAUUAGAUACCCGCGUAGUCCCUGUCUCUUAUAC